ACAGUGGUGGUUCAGUGGUAGAGUCCUUGCCUCCAUGCAGGAGACCCGGGUUCGAUUCCUGGCCAAUGCA
rnacentral:tRNA from 1 species